AUAGAGGAUGUUAGAAUUUUGUCUGUACACAGCAAUCUCCAUACAGGGAUGUAUGGAGAAGGGCGAGAUGAGCCCGGAAGGCGAAUGGAGCCCGGUUGCGUCACUCUUAGAAAAAUUACAUCAAAAUUCCUACAGCCUCUUAGCGA
rnacentral:ncRNA from 1 species